UUCCAAGAUGAUUUCCUCUCCAAGGGGCCAACUAAUACCCCUUUCAGGAACAUAGCAACUUGGAAGAAAACCUGGCAUGCCUGAGCUUCUUGAAGAGUGUGGGAUACAUAUUUCCUUAGCCUUCCUUUGGCUGCCUACAUAC